UUGGCACCUCGAUGUCGGCUCACCGCAUCCUGGGGCUGAAGCAGGUCCCAAGGGUUGGUCUGUUCGCCCAUUAAAGCGGUACGCGAGCUGGGUUUAGAACGUCGUGAGACAGUUCGGUCCCUAUCCUUCGUGGGUGUUGGAAAUUUGAGGAGAUCUGCUCCUAGUACGAGAGGACCGGGGUGGACGAACCUCUGGUUUUCCGGUUGUGAUGCCAAUUGCAUCGCCGGGUAGCUAUGUUCGGAAAGGAUAACCGCUGAAAGCAUCUAAGCGGGAAGCCAACUCCAAAACUAGAUUUCCCUUCCUCCUUCGGGAGGACCGUAGACCCCUUGUAGACUACAAGGUUGAUAGGCCAGAUGUGUAAGCACAGCAAUGUGUUCAGCUAACUGGUACUAAUUGGUCGCGAGGCUUGACCUU
rnacentral:rRNA from 1 species